UACAGAGGGCUCAAGCGUUGUUCGGAUUCAUUGGGCGUAAAGGGUGCGUAGGCGGCGCGGUAAGUCGGGUGUGAAAUCUCGGGGCUUAACUCCGAAACUGCAUUCGAUACUGCCGUGCUUGAGGACUGGAGAGGAGACUGGAAUUUACGGUGUAGCGGUGAAAUGCGUAGAUAUCGUAAGGAAGACCAGUGGCGAAGGCGGGUCUCUGGACAGUUCCUGACGCUGAAGCACGAAGGCCAGGGGAGCAAACGGG
rnacentral:rRNA from 1 species